rnacentral:rRNA from 1 species
UACGGGGGGGUAAGCGUUGUUCGGAAUUACUGGGCGUAAAGGGCUCGUAGGCGGCCAACUAAGUCGGACGUGAAAUCCCUCAGCUUAACUGGGGAACUGCGUCCGAUACUGGAUGGCUUGGAUUUGGGAGAGGGAUGCGGAAUUCCAGGUGUAGCGGUGAAAUGCGUAGAUAUCUGGAGGAACACCGGUGGCGAAGGCGGCAUCCUGGACCAAUAUUGACGCUGAGGAGCGAAAGCUAGGGGAGCAAACGGG